GAGUUGUGGCUCAGUCGGUAGAGCGCUUGCCUUGCAAGCGUGAGGCCCUGGGUUCGAUUCCCGGCCAACGCA
rnacentral:tRNA from 1 species